rnacentral:rRNA from 2 species
AACGAACGCUGGCGGCAGGCUUAACACAUGCAAGUCGAGCGCCCCGCAAGGGGAGCGGCAGACGGGUGAGUAACGCGUGGGAAUCUACCUUUUGCUACGGAAUAACGCAGGGAAACUUGUGCUAAUACCGUAUGUGUCCUUCGGGAGAAAGAUUUAUCGGCAAGAGAUGAGCCCGCGUUGGAUUAGCUAGUUGGUGGGGUAAAGGCCUACCAAGGCGACGAUCCAUAGCUGGUCUGAGAGGAUGAUCAGCCACACUGGGACUGAGACACGGCCCAGACUCCUACGGGAGGCAGCAGUGGGGAAUAUUGGACAAUGGGCGCAAGCCUGAUCCAGCCAUGCCGCGUGAGUGAUGAAGGCCCUAGGGUUGUAAAGCUCUUUCACCGGUGAAGAUAAUGACGGUAACCGGAGAAGAAGCCCCGGCUAACUUCGUGCCAGCAGCCGCGGUAA